UGAACGCUGGCGGCGUGCUUAACACAUGCAAGUCGUACGAGAAAUCUUUAGCUUGCUAAAGAUAGUAAAGUGGCGCACGGGUGAGUAACGCGUGGGAAAUCUACCUCCGAAUCGGGGAUAACCCGUCGAAAGGUGAGCUAAUACCGGAUGAUAUCCCAAAAACUCCUGUUUUUGGGAUCAAAGGUGGCCUCUACAUGUAAGCUACUGUUUGGAGAUGAGCCCGCGUACCAUUAGCUUGUUGGUAGGGUAAUGGCCUACCAAGGCAACGAUGGUUAGCUGGUCUGAGAGGAUGAUCAGCCACACUGGAACUGACACACGGUCCAGACUCCUACGGGAGGCAGCAGUGGGGAAUUUUGCGCAAUGGGGGAAACCCUGACGCAGCAACGCCGCGUGAGUGAUGAAGGCUUUCGGGUCGUAAAGCUCUGUCAAGUGGGAAGAACAUGAUCGAUGAUAAUACCAUUGUUCAUUGACGGUACCACUAAAGGAAGCACCGGCUAACUCC
rnacentral:rRNA from 1 species